rnacentral:rRNA from 1 species
CCUACGGGUGGCAGCAGUGAGGAAUAUUGGUCAAUGGACGAGAGUCUGAACCAGCCAAGUAGCGUGAAGGAUGACUGCCCUAUGGGUUGUAAACUUCUUUUAUAAAGGAAUAAAACGAGGCACGUGUGCCUUUUUGCAUGUACUUUAUGAUUAAGGAUCGGCUAACUCCGUGCCAGCAGCCGCGGUAAUACGGAGGAUCCGAGCGUUAUCCGGAUUUAUUGGGUUUAAAGGGAGCGUAGAUGGGUUGUUAAGUCAGUUGUGAAAGUUUGCGGCUCAACCGUAAAAUUGCAAUUGAUACUGGCAGUCGUGAGUACAGUUGAGGUAGGCGGAAUUCGUGGUGUAGCGGUGAAAUGCUUAGAUAUCACGAAGAACCCCGAUUGCGAAGGCAGCUUACUAAACUGUGACUGACAUUGAUGCUCGAAAGUGUGGGUAUCAAACAGGAUUAGAUACCCCUGUAGUC